AGGCGUACGACGCAAGGCUGAAACUUAAAAGAAUUGGCGGGGGAUCACACGAUUUGAAUAGCAUUUGUUAGCAAGGGCUUGGCAAGACCGGUGCCAGCUUGCCGCGGUAACACCGGCGGCCCGAGUGGUAACCGUUAUUAUUGGGUUUAAAGGGUCCGUAGCCGGCCUAUUAAGUCUCUUGGGAAAUCUGGCGACUCAAUCGUCAGGCGUCCAAGAGAUACUGGUAGGCUUGGGACCGGGAGAGGUGGGAGGUACUCCAGGGGUAGGGGUGAAAUCUCGUAAUCCUUGGGGGACCACCGAUGGCGAAGGCAUCCCACCAGAACGGGUCCGACGGUGAGGGACGAAAGCUGGGGGCACGAACCGGAUUAGAUACCCGGGUAGUCCCAGCCGUAAACGAUGCUCGCUAGGUGUCAGGUGCGGUGCGACCGCAUCUGGUGCCGCAGUGAAAACUUGAAAGCGAGUCACCUGGGAAGUACGGUCGCAAGGCUGAAACUUAAAGGAAUUGGCG
rnacentral:rRNA from 1 species